rnacentral:rRNA from 1 species
CCUACGGGAGGCUGCAGUGAGGAAUAUUGGUCAAUGGACGAGAGUCUGAACCAGCCAAGUAGCGUGAAGGAUGACUGCCCUAUGGGUUGUAAACUUCUUUUAUAAAGGAAAAAAGUGAGGCAAGUGGGCCUUUUUGUAUGGACGUUAUGAAUAAGGAUAGUCUAACUCCGUGCCAGCAGCCGCGGUAAUACGGAGGUUCCGAGCGUUAUCCGGAUUUAUUGGGUUUAAAGGGAGCGUAGAGGGGUUGUUAAGUCAGUUGUGAAAGUUUGCGGCUCAACCGUAAAAUUGCCAUUGAUACUGGCAGCCUUGAGUACAGUUGAGGUAGGCGGAAUUCGUGGUGUAGCGGUGAAAUGCUUAGAUAUCACG